UAGGGAAUCUUCGGCAAUGGGGGGAACCCUGACCGAGCAACGCCGCGUGAGUGAAGAAGGUUUUCGGAUCGUAAAGCUCUGUUGUUAAGGAAGAACGAGUGUGAGAAUGGAAAGUUCAUGCUGUGACGGUACUUAACCAGAAAGGGACGGCUAACUACGUGCCAGCAGCCGCGGUAAUACGUAGGUCCCGAGCGUUGUCCGGAUUUAUUGGGCGUAAAGCGAGCGCAGGCGGUUAGAAAAGUCUGAAGUGAAAGGCGGUGGCUCAACCAGUGUUGGCUUUGGAAACUGUUUAACUUGAGUGCAGAAGGGGAGAGUGAAAUUCCAUGUGUAGCGGAGAAAUGCGUAGAUAUAUGGAGGAACACCGGUGGCGAAAGCGGCUCUCUGGUCUGUAACUGACGCUGAGGCUCGAAAGCGUGGGGAGCGAACAGG
rnacentral:rRNA from 1 species